rnacentral:lncRNA from 1 species
CCAGAGUACAAGCUCGAGAGAGCCAGAAAUACGAAGCGCAGUAGAAGAUAAACUAUGUGGCAGAACCGCCCGAAUUAUUCCAGCUUAAGUGUCCAAGUCGCACCCUUAAAGGCAGCAACACACUUAAAUCGGAAUAACCCGUCAGUCCCUCGGAUCUAGUCCGAUAAAGCCACUUAUCCAGGAUCGAAUACCACUAGCUCACUCGAAGGUGAGGCACAGAGAAAUACAAUAAAACAUAAUACUACAAAUUUAAUAAGUAUCAGUAGUAACUACAUUAUCGGAGUUUCAGAAAUAAUAACCAUAAAUUUUAAUGCAGCGGAAAUAACUAACGGAGAAGAACCGAGUAACAUGGUGAAGCCUGGCCACACUACUCCUCCUGGUCCUCUCCUGCGGAAGCAGUAACCCACUCGACCGUCUAUCCCGGUGGCAGGGAUGAAGGCCAAGUCACACCAUCAACCAAAU